UCAGAUACCUGGGCUCAAGUGAUCCUCCCUCAGCAGUCUCUCAAAGUGCUGGGAUUACAGGCAUGAGCCACCAAGACUGGCACCAACACUCUUUGAAUCCGUCACCUCAAAAUCCUUGCUGUGUCCACCAACUCUAAACUAUUAUCCUUAUCCAAUUCUGAUCAAGCCCUAGCGCUGAAAGACCUGACUUAAACCAGACUUCAAAACUUCAUAAAUAUGUCAACUUUUCCCUGCCCCUUCUGAGAGGCUACUAAGACUCUGUCAAGUUAGUGUUCUUCCUUACUGCCAUAGGAAUAAAGUUGUCUUUGUUUAAUCAGUGGGUUGUUUUAGUGAUAUUUUGGUGGAGCCAAAAUUAUUACCUUUCAAAAAUUAGUACAAAAAGACAUAAUGGGAGACAAAAGAAAAAAGAAAAGCAAGUUAAAAGAUCAGAGAUCUAACAUCUGAAUAAUAUAAUAGAAAUUUCAACAAGAGAAAGAGAAAAUAUUGGGAAGAAAAAUACUAAAAGAAAUAAUUUGAGAAAAUUUCCCAGAACUGAAGGCCAUAAAUUUCUAGAAUACAGGGCAUGAUGAAAUCAAAGGAGACCCACACCAAGGUUAAAAUCAUUGUACAAUUUCAGAAAUGUUGAGACAUUACAGAAAGCUGGGGGAAACUGCUUGGUUGCCUGCAGAUUAAGAUUAUUGCCACCAGAUGGCAAGAAUUCCUCAAAGGCUCUAAGACUGAGAUUUUUGUUUCAUUUUCUUCUUCAGAUCUUUCCAACGCAUUAGAAAGAGAAUUCUCAUUUGGCUUCUCUCCAUCUAGUCUGGCUCCAUCAGAGAUCUGACUGUUUUCCUCCUAAACAACUCUGCUAGAAGGUCACUAUAUAAUCAGCCUGGAGGAUGUCCUGAUUUCAUCUUCAUUUAAUUCUUUUUGAUUGACUACUACACUGGAGUGUUUGUUUAUUCAUCUGAGCAAGAUAUUAAAAGUUCCUUUAAAUAGAUGACAUUUAAAAGGCAUAAAUUGGCUUCUCUGACCACCUCACCCUUCAGCUGUCAGCGUAUCCUCCUCAUUCUUCUUGGAUGCAGGACAAGAGUUCAGCAAGGCACAGAAUCUCUUGGAAGCUACAAUCAAUGCAGCAUCAACCCUGUCCUCCAGCAGCUGAGAUGCUGGGGACUGAAUUUCUCUGAAUAAGCUUGUCAUCCAUCAGCAUCUGUGUCAUUAUAAGAAUAAACAUCUCUGGAGUAGAAGAAUGGGCAGGACAUGAAUAACAGUACUCUUCUCCCCUGCUGAAGGUGAUAAUGAGCGCUAAAAUUUUCACAAAUAAGAACAGAAGUCAUCACAACCUUUGUUCUCUGUAGAUUCGCCAACCUGUACUCCAUCCGGAGCAUGUUAGAAGACUUCGCCUCAAAAGUGUCCCACUGGGAGAGUGACUUUUCCGAGACUGUCAUGAGUGUCUUUGUCGCUGGGACUUGUGUCUCCUAAUGCUUGUGUGGCAGGUAGGUGCUUCUUUGAGUCUUGGUGAUAGAAACACAUAGAAAUAUGAUUUAGUCCUUAAGGAACAAAAAGGAACCCAUCCAGUUUUCAAGGGGGAGAAAAAGUUCAAAAGAAUCAGAAACUUUUUUUUUUUUUUUAAAAAAAAGAAAAGUAGACAACACGCUUCUUAUCUUCAAAGAAAUUCCAGAGGGGUUCAUUUUAAAAAGGAGAAGACACAUGCUACUAUUUAAAGAAGUCCCAGAAGAACUUAAACUUGAAAUUCCCGCUGUGGCAGCAGCUUUCCUCAUUACCUUCAUUCUUAGGCAUCUUCUAUGUCCCCAGAGGAGUUGAAGCCAACUCUGUUUUUCUACUCAGUACAGUGUCCAGCAGCAACUAUGACAACUAUGUGUGCUGCAAAGAAUUUUUCCAGAGGUGGGUGUCUCCAGGGCCACAGAGUUCCCUGUCAGCACUUUAUGGGGGAAGUUAUUCUCUACACUUGAAAGUAGAGAAGAAAAGAAACACGUGUGAAAGUAUCUGGAAGUGCAUAAGUGGUGUGUGUAAAGGGGAAUGUCAUGUUCAGCCUUGUGUUUUUCCUUCUUUCCCACUGGAACUCGUUUGAGUCUUUGUUACCCAGUUAGUAGAAAUUGUAGAUCUGAGUAGAAGUUUUCUUGUUUGUCGAAAGAGCAUUACCACUAGUGAUUGAAAGGCUGGCAUUUCCAGAUAGAAAGGUGGCAGCCGCCCUUUUGCAACUUUUAAACAGUGAUAAGAAUUCUGGCCCUUUGUCUUUAAGCAUUGUAUUAAGCAGACUUUGACGUCUUUCUUUCAGCAUUUCAUUCAACAUUACUAACCCCUUUUCCUCCUCUCGUCUCUGGGAAAACAUGGACUACCAUGCAAAAGCUCCUACCAAUGCUGUAGCAUCUUCAAUCACAGUUGCUGCCCACCACAAGCGGGCCAAAUCCCUGAGCCACACCUCUGAAUUGAUAGAUCUUCUAUAGAAGCAUAGAUUGGGCAUCCUUUGCUUGUCUCCAGCUUCUCUGCAUUGCACUGUUUUGCUGCAUACUGUGAGAAUGACUCAACCUCUUGCACCCUCAAGUUCCUGGCUUUGAGCAGCUACCUUUCCUAAGUGAAAAGUGAGCAUCUGAAAAGCGAUCGCUUGCUUUAGAACUAUGUUAAAGAUGGGUUUCCCUGUGAAGAAUGACUCCAAAACAUGAGAGAUGGUCCAUCUGAAUAAAUCCUUCAGUGAAAAAAAGACCAUGAUAGACAUUGCUGAUGCUGGUAUAUUUUGGACAAAUGAAUCUGGGGAACAGAAGAAACUACACGGUGCCAGGCGCGGUGGCUCACACCUGUAAUCCCAGCACUUUGGGAGGCCGAAGCAGGUGGAUCACUUGAGACCAGGAG